GCUGCCCCUAUAGGAGUUUCAAGUGUGGCUGCUGUGUCACAUUGUAGCAGAGAGGGGAGAGGCUAUUUCUACGUCAGUGCUCUGACCUGUGAACAUCUGAAUGAUUAUUAGGCUGACACU
ensembl:snoRNA